rnacentral:rRNA from 1 species
GACGAACGCUGGCGGCGUGCUUAACACAUGCAAGUCGAACGGAAAGGCUCCAGCUUGCUGGAGUACUCGAGUGGCGAACGGGUGAGUAACACGUGGGUAAUCUGCCCUGCACUCUGGGAUAAGCCUGGGAAACUGGGUCUAAUACUGGAUAUGACCUUUCUCCUUAUGGGGUUUGGUGGAAAGUUUUUCGGUGUAGGAUGAGCCCGCGGCCUAUCAGCUUGUUGGUGGGGUGAUGGCCUACCAAGGCGACGACGGGUAGCCGGCCUGAGAGGGUGAUCGGCCACAUUGGGACUGAGAUACGGCCCAGACUCCUACGGGAGGCAGCAGUGGGGAAUAUUGCACAAUAGGCGGAAGCCUGAUGCAGCGACGCCGCGUGAGGGAUGACGGCCUUCGGGUUGUAAACCUCUUUCAGCAGGGACGAAGCGUAAGUGACGGUACCUGCAGAAGAAGCACCGGCUAACUACGUG